AGAAUCAACGCUGGCGGCGUGCCUAACACAUGCAAGUCGCACGAGAAAGUGGAGCAAUCCAUGAGUAAAGUGGCGCACGGGUGAGUAACACGUGACUAACCUACCCUUGAGUGGGGGAUAACCUAGAGAAAUCUGGGCUAAUACCGCAUAAUACCUUCGGGUCAAAGGAGCAAUUCGCUUAAGGAGGGGUCGCGGCCGAUUAGUUAGUUGGCGGGGUAAUGGCCCACCAAGACUAUGAUCGGUA
rnacentral:rRNA from 1 species